rnacentral:rRNA from 1 species
GAGAUCACCGCUAUUAGGAUACGCUUAAGCCAUGCGAGUCAAAGAGCAAUCUUGGCGCACCGCUCAGUAACACGUGGACAAUCUACCCUUCGGUGGGGGAUAAUCUUGGGAAACUGAGGAUAAUACCCCAUAGGUCUAGGAUGCUGGAAUGCUUCUAAGCUGAAAGUUUCGACGCCGAAGGAUGAGUCUGCGGCCUAUCAGGUUGUAGCAAGUGUGAUGCACUUGUUAGCCUACAACGGGUACGGGCCAUGAGAGUGGUUGCCCGGAGAUGGACUCUGAGACACGAGUCCAGGCCCUACGGGGCGCAGCAGGCGCGAAAACUUCGCAAUGUGCGCAAGCACGACGAGGGAAUCCUAAGUGCCUAUGCUUUGCAUAGGCUGUUCUCCUGUCUAAAAAACAGGGGGAGUAAGGGCUGGGUAAGACGGGUGCCAGCCGCCGCGGUAAUACCCGCAGCCCAAGUGGUGAUCGUUAUUAUUGGGUCUAAAACGUCCGUAGCUGAUCUAGUAAAUUCCUGGGUAAAUCGAAUUGCUUAACAAUUCGAAUUCCGGGUAGACUGCUAGACUUGGGACCGGAAGAGGUCAGAAGUACUUCUGGGGUAGGGGUAAAAUCCUGUAAUCCUGGAGGGACUAUCAGUGGCGAAAUUUCG